rnacentral:misc_RNA from 1 species
UAAGGACAAAAGUUGACUUAAAAUUAAUUAUUCAAUUUUUUUAUUUGUGGUUGUUAUUUGAUGAAAAUUAAAUAAAAGUUAAUCUAAUAAUUUCCUAUCACACAAUUUAAAAUCAUAUGGGGAUUUUCUGUUUUUAUUUUUGCUCAAAUAAUUUCCUAAAAAUAUAUUUUUUUUCUUGCUUCACUUUGCUUUCUCUCCAUUAUUUCAUUCAAAUUAAAAAAUUAUUUUAUUUACAUAAGAAUCUCAACUCAACUAAACCUUUA